UACGAAGGGGGCUAGCGUUGCUCGGAAUUACUGGGCGUAAAGGGAGCGUAGGCGGACUGUUUAGUCAGAGGUGAAAGCCCAGGGCUCAACCUUGGAAUUGCCUUUGAUACUGGCAGUCUUGAGUACGGAAGAGGUAUGUGGAACUCCGAGUGUAGAGGUGAAAUUCGUAGAUAUUCGGAAGAACACCAGUGGCGAAGGCGACAUACUGGUCCGUUACUGACGCUGAGGCUCGAAAGCGUGGGGAGCAAACAGG
rnacentral:rRNA from 4 species